AUUACUCCUACGGGAGGCAGCAGUGGGGAAUAUUGGACAAUGGGCGCAAGCCUGAUCCAGCCAUGCCGCGUGAGUGACGAAGGCCUUAGGGUUGUAAAGCUCUUUUGGCGGGGACGAUAAUGACGGUACCCGCAGAAUAAGCCCCGGCUAACUUCGUGCCAGCAGCCGCGGUAAUAAU
rnacentral:rRNA from 1 species